AUUCCUACGGGAGGCAGCAGUGAGGAAUUUUGCGCAAUGGGCGAAAGCCUGACGCAGCGACGCCGCGUGGAGGAUGAAGUCUUUCGAGAUGUAAACUUCUGUCAGUAGGGAUGAUAAUGACAGUACCUACAGAGGAAGCACCGGCUAACUCCGUGCCAGCAGCCGCGGUAAUACGGAGGGUGCAAGCGUUGCUCGGAAUUACUGGGCGUAAAGCGUACGUAGGCGGCGAGUUAAGUCGAAUGUUAAAGCCCGGGGCUCAACCCCGUGGAUGCCUUCGAUACUGGCUUGCUAGAGGGUGAUAGAGGAAAGUGGAAUUCCGAGUGUAGCGGUGAAAUGCGUAGAUAUUCGGAGGAACAUCAGUAGCGAAGGCGACUUUCUGGGUCACACCUGACGCUGAGGUACGAAAGCGUGGGUAGCAAACAGGAUUAGAUACCCUGGUAGUCCACGCCGUAAACGAUGGAUGCUAGGUGUAGCGGGUAUCAACCCCUGCUGUGCCGAAGUUAACGCGAUAAGCAUCCCGCCUGGGGAGUACGUUCGCAAGAAUGAAACUCAAAGGAAUUGACGGAAU
rnacentral:rRNA from 1 species